AAUGUUCCUAAAGUAAUUAAGAAUUAUAACUGCUGUGACACAUGUGCCUCAGUAGGUGGCAGAUAGGAGACAGACUAUGUCUAUGCUCAGUGUUCUGACCUAAGAACAUCUGAGUGAUGAGGAACCUAACAUU